UUAUGGUUGGGGCCUGUUGUCUAAUUUGUAACAAGUGUAUUGACACGUUAUUUCUACAAUAAUUAACAAAUAACUCACUUGUUGCGCCUUAAAAUCUUCUUUUUAUCAAAUUUUAUUACAUUCUGAAGCGGCACAGAAGCCAGAAAAUGCCCGGUGUUUAUGUAUGACACCGGAAGCAUAUCUAUGACGUCACGUAGUGUAGGGACCAAAGAAGACAAC
rnacentral:lncRNA from 1 species